UACGGAGGGUGCAAGCGUUAAUCGGAAUUACUGGGCGUAAAGCGCGCGUAGGCGGCUUAGUAAGUCGGAUGUGAAAGCCCCGGGCUUAACCUGGGAACUGCAUUCGAUACUGCUGAGCUAGAGUAUGGAAGAGGGAAGUGGAAUUCCGGGUGUAGCGGUGAAAUGCGUAGAUAUCCGGAGGAACACCAGUGGCGAAGGCGACUUCCUGGGCCAAUACUGACGCUGAGGUGCGAAAGCGUGGGGAGCAAACAGG
rnacentral:rRNA from 1 species